GACGAACGCUGGCGGCGUGCCUAAUACAUGCAAGUAGAACGCUGAAGGAGGAGCUUGCUUCUCCGGAUGAGUUGCGAACGGGUGAGUAACGCGUAGGUAACCUGCCUGGUAGCGGGGGAUAACUAUUGGAAACGAUAGCUAAUACCGCAUAAGAGUAGAUGUCGCAUGACAUUUGCUUAAAAGGUGCAACUGCACCACUACCAGAUGGACCUGCGUUGUAUUAGCUAGUUGGUGAGGUAACGGCUCACCAAGGCAACGAUACAUAGCCGACCUGAGAGGGUGAUCGGCCACACUGGGACUGAGACACGGCCCAGACUCCUACGGGAGGCAGCAGUAGGGAAUCUUCGGCAAUGGACGGAAGUCUGACCGAGCAACGCCGCGUGAGUGAAGAAGGUUUUCGGAUCGUAAAGCUCUGUUGUAAGAGAAGAACGAGUGUGAGAGUGGAAAGUUCACACUGUGACGGGAUCUUACCAGAAAGGGACGGCUAACUACGU
rnacentral:rRNA from 1 species